rnacentral:misc_RNA from 1 species
AGUUUCUCCAUCUUGAAUUAAUAAUUCAUUGUUGUUUGGUUUUCCUCACUACCCCUUAUUAAAGGGUCUAUUUGUAAAAUGACUAGCAACAUUCAACUGGAUGUACCUUCUCUUCAACGGAAACAAAUCAAACAAGUUAAGCACAAUUUCAUGAAUGUGAAAGAAUAUGUUCUGGAAAAAGCAUCUUCUUAGGUAGACUUGCAUGAAUGGUAGCAGGCAGGGUUUUUGAAUCUCAG